UACGGAGGGUGCAAGCGUUAUCCGGAUUCACUGGGUUUAAAGGGUGCGUAGGUGGGAAUGUAAGUCAGUGGUGAAAUCUCCGUGCUUAACAUGGAAACUGCCAUUGAUACUAUGUUUCUUGAAUUUUCUGGAGGUCAGCGGAAUAUGUCAUGUAGCGGUGAAAUGCUUAGAUAUGACAUAGAACACCAAUUGCGAAGGCAGCUGACUACAGGGAUAUUGACACUGAGGCACGAAAGCGUGGGGAUCAAACAGG
rnacentral:rRNA from 2 species